rnacentral:rRNA from 1 species
AGAGUUUGAUCAUGGCUCAGAUUGAACGCUGGCGGCAUGCCUUACACAUGCAAGUCGAACGGCAGCACGGGGGCAACCCUGGUGGCGAGUGGCGAACGGGUGAGUAAUACAUCGGAACGUGUCCUGUAGUGGGGGAUAGCCCGGCGAAAGCCGGAUUAAUACCGCAUACGAUCUGUGGAUGAAAGCGGGGGAUCUUCGGACCUCGCGCUACAGGGGCGGCCGAUGGCAGAUUAGCUAGUUGGUGGGGUAAAGGCCUACCAAGGCGACGAUCUGUAGCUGGUCUGAGAGGACGACCAGCCACACUGGGACUGAGACACGGCCCAGACUCCUACGGGAGGCAGCAGUGGGGAAUUUUGGACAAUGGGCGAAAGCCUGAUCCAGCAAUGCCGCGUGUGUGAAGAAGGCCUUCGGGUCGUAAAGCACUUUUGUCCGGAAAGAAAACCUCGUGGUUAAUACCCGUGGGGGAUGACGGUACCGGAAGAAUAAGCACCGGCUAACUACGUGCCAGCAGCCGCGGUAAUACGUAGGGUGCAGGCGUUAAUCGGAAUUACUGGGCGUAAAGCGUGCGCAGGCGGUUCGCUAAGACAGAUGUGAAAUCCCCGGGCUUAACCUGGGAACUGCAUUUGUGACUGGCGGGCUAGAGUAUGGCAGAGGGGGGUAGAAUUCCACGUAGCAGUGAAAUGCGUAGAGAUGUGGAGGAAUACCGAUGGCGAAGGCAGCCCCCUGGGCCAAUACUGACGCUCAUGCACGAAAGCGUGGGGAGCAAACAGGAUUAGAUACCCUAGUAGUCC